GCUUGCUCAAGAAGCAACUUGAAGAUAAGUCUGCACAAGAACAAGAUGGGAACAUGGAGAUUACAGCCACUGAAGAUGAGGAGCCACAGGCCAUGAUGUUGGACUCCAGCACUGAUAGUAGCACCGAUUCAAGCUCUGAUGACUCCAGCUCUGACUCCAGCUCUACCUCUGUCUCGUCGGAUGAGGAAAAGAAGAAAAAGAAGCGUAAAAAGAAGAAUGGCAAGAAGAGAAGCAAAAAAGAAAGAAGGAAAACAAAAAGACGAAGAAAUCAGGCAGAAAAGGAGAGAGAGUUGCCUCAAUCCCAGAUGUGGUGAAAAGAUAUCGACGGGUCCUCAAACUUGUGCAAAGAGGCUUCAGGAUGACCACAGCUUUCAAGAAAGCUCACGUUUCAAGAAAUGCUGUGAAAGACACGGCAGCAAUCGCAGAGAUUUACAUAGCAGACAAAAGUGUCCUUGACCAGUUCAAGGGUAAAUACACACUUUUGAAACUAGCACAACUUUGUCAGAAAAAAAUAGUUGGUGAACUGGCAGAAAAGAUCAUUGAAAUGAAAAACAACAAACAGCUCAUCCCCUUUUCUGCCAAGAAAGACUGACUAUAGGCAACAGGAUGUUAACUAGAUAAGUCUAAGUAGAUUAUUGUUAACUAGGUAAGUUUUAUUUUUCAUAAUUUGAAAUGGUGGUGGCUGUUGUUCAAGUUGGUUUUUCCCUAUGCCACACCUCCAAUAAG